GGUCCAUGAUGAGCUGUAAAAGGUCUGAGGCGCCUCCGCUCUGCUCCCAGCACCUCCUCUGCCCUCCAGCCUGCUCCAGCUGUGCCACGCUGGCCUGGGAGGUGCUGACAGUGAUGGGAAGAGUCCACAGCAGCUGAGUCUGAACGCAGAACCUUCAGACUCACGCUGACCUCUGGCGUCCAACACCACCCAUGAAGAGCAGGAGGAGGCGCAGCUGAUCUCAAGUUUUCAAGCUGAGACC